GAUGAACGCUGGCGGCGUGCCUAAUACAUGCAAGUCGAGCGAACAGACGAGGAGCUUGCUCCUCUGACGUUAGCGGCGGACGGGUGAGUAACACGUGGAUAACCUACCUAUAAGACUGGGAUAACUUCGGGAAACCGGAGCUAAUACCGGAUAAUAUAUUGAACCGCAUGGUUCAAUAGUGAAAGACGGUUUUGCUGUCACUUAUAGAUGGAUCCGCGCCGCAUUAGCUAGUUGGUAAGGUAACGGCUUACCAAGGCAACGAUGCGUAGCCGACCUGAGAGGGUGAUCGGCCACACUGGAACUGAGACACGGUCCAGACUCCUACGGGAGGCAGCAGUAGGGAAUCUUCCGCAAUGGGCGAAAGCCUGACGGAGCAACGCCGCGUGAGUGAUGAAGGUCUUCGGAUCGUAAAACUCUGAUAUUAGGGAAGAACAAAAGUGUAAGUAACUAUGCACGUCUUGACGGUACCUAAUCAGAAAGCCACGGCUAACUACGUG
rnacentral:rRNA from 1 species